AUUACUCUAUUUUCACUGCAUCAGGGCUAAAGAGCAAGGACCCGUAUGAUCAACAGCCAGUAAAAUGCAAAGAUGUCUCUAUAUUUGCAGCUGGGAAAAAUCGUUUGGCUAAAGUCUUGAAACCCCUUGUGCGCAAAAAAAUGAAGGCAGAAUUCAUAGUUCCUGACGUUUUCCUUGCUAAGAAGUGACCUCUGCAAUUUGAAAAAUAUUUUCUGAAAUUCAUUUUCAUUCUUUCCCUUGUUUUCUAUAUACACUUUUUAAUUCUUCAAGCAUUAUAAAAUAAUAAAAUAAUUUUAUCAUCAA